AGGGUUGAGUAGUUUGGGCGACUCCCAGAGGAGAGUUUCUCCCAUGAGAACUUGCUGGAAGUUGAGCUUACUGAACAUUUGCUGGAAGCCUUGCUGCUCAGCAUAAAGCUUCUGACUGGCAGCAGCUCCAUUUCAUGCUGGCCAGUAUUUCUACAUCCAAAGAACAUUGGAAGAUUUAUUUCUAUGGACUAUAUGGAGUUUGGUCAUCUGGUCCAGGAAGGCUUCAUCCCCUCAUUCCCCUCUCUUCAACAAUCAUUUAAAGAAAAAGAUAGAGUGGAUGUAAGUUACUAAUAGUAGGCUGGUUUUGCUCUUGAUAUGAAACUUGUCUCUUCUAUUUCCCAAUCCACUACAAAUGAAGCUGCC
rnacentral:lncRNA from 11 species